rnacentral:rRNA from 1 species
UACAGAGGUCCCAAGCGUUGUUCGGAUUCACUGGGCGUAAAGGGUGCGUAGGUGGUUGCGCAAGUCUGAUGUGAAAUCUCCGGGCUCAACCCGGAAAUGGCAUUGGAAACUGCGUGGCUAGAGGGUUGGAGGGGGGACUGGAAUGACUUGGUGUAGCAGUGAAAUGCGUAGAUAUCAAGUGGAACACCAGUGGCGAAGGCGAGUCCCUGGACAACACCUGACACUGAGGCACGAAAGCUAGGGGAGCAAACAGG